rnacentral:rRNA from 1 species
UAAGUAGGUAGUGAAAUCCUGGGGCUCAACCCUUUAAACAUUAUUUAAACUGCUAACCUAGAAUAUAGAAGAGGUCGCUGGAAUUCCUUGUGUAGGAGUGAAAUCCGUAGAUAUAAGGAGGAACACCGAUGGCGUAGGCAGGCGACUGGUCUAUUAUUGACACUAAGGCACGAAAGCGUGGGUAGCAAACGGGAUUAGAUACCCCGGUAGUCCACGCCGUAAACUAUGGAUGCUA